rnacentral:rRNA from 1 species
CAGUAGCGUAUAUUAAUGUUGUUGCAGUUAAAAAGCUCGUAGUUGGAUUUCUAGUCGUCUUGCUUGAUCCGCGCCACUCGAUGGUUGUGAGUAUCUCUGUGAGACGCCUAUCCUAUCACUUCUUGAUUCGGGUUCGUCCUGGGUCAUGGGUGGUUCUUUUACUUUGAAAAAUUAGAGUGUUUAAAGCAGGCUUGCGCAAUUGAAUACAUUAGCAUGGAAUAAUAAUAUAGGACUUCGGUCUCUAUUUUGUUGGUUUCUAGAACUGAAGUAAUGAUUGAUAGGGAUAGUUGGGGGUAGUUCAUAUUUAAUUGUCAGAGGUGAAAUUACUUGGAUUUAUGAAAGAUGAACUUAGGCGAAAGCAUUACCUAAGGAUGUUUUCAUUAAUCAAGAACGAAAGUUAGGGAUCGAAGACGAUUAGAUACCGU